GACGAACGCUGGCGGCGUGCUUAACACAUGCAAGUCGAACGGAAAGGCCCUGCUUUUGUGGGGUGCUCGAGUGGCGAACGGGUGAGUAACACGUGAGUAACCUGCCCUUGACUUUGGGAUAACUUCAGGAAACUGGGGCUAAUACCGGAUAGGAGCUCCUGCUGCAUGGUGGGGGUUGGAAAGUUUCGGCGGUUGGGGAUGGACUCGCGGCUUAUCAGCUUGUUGGUGGGGUAGUGGCUUACCAAGGCUUUGACGGGUAGCCGGCCUGAGAGGGUGACCGGCCACAUUGGGACUGAGAUACGGCCCAGACUCCUACGGGAGGCAGCAGUGGGGAAUAUUGCACCAUGGGCGGAAGCCUGAUGCAGCAACGCCGCGUGCGGGAUGACGGCCUUCGGGUUGUAAACCGCUUUCGCCUGUGACGAAGCGUGAGUGACGGUAAUGGGUAAAGAAGCACCGGCUAACUACGUGCCAGCAGCCGCGGUGAUACGUAGGGUGCGAGCGUUGUCCGGAUUUAUUGGGCGUAAAGGGCUCGUAGGUGGUUGAUCGCGUCGGAAGUGCAAUCUUGGGGCUUAACCCUGAGCGUGCUUUCGAUACGGGUUGACUUGAGGAAGGUAGGGGAGAAUGGAAUUCCUGGUGGAGCGGUGGAAUGCGCAGAUAUCAGGAGGAACACCAGUGGCGAAGGCGGUUCUCUGGGCCUUUCCUGACGCUGAGGAGCGAAAGCGUGGGGAGCGAACAGGCCUAGAUACCCUGGUAGUCCACGCUGUAAACGGUGGGUACUAGGUGUGGGGUCCAUUCCACGGGUUCCGUGCCGUAGCUAACGCUUUAAGUACCCCGCCUGGGGAGUACGGCCGCAAGGCUAAAACUCAAAGGAAUUGACGGGGCCCCGCACAAGCGGCGGAGCAUGCGGAUUAAUUCGAUGCAACGCGUAGAACCUCACCUGGGUUUGACAUGGAUCGGGAGUGCUCAGAGAUGGGUGUGCCUCUUUUGGGGUCGGUUCACAGGUGGUGCAUGGCUGUCGUCAGCUCGUGUCGUGAGAUGUUGGGUUAAGUCCCGCAACGAGCGCAACCCUUGUUCACUGUUGCCAGCACGUUAUGGUGGGGACUCAGUGGAGACCGCCGGGGUCAACUCGGAGGAAGGUGGGGAUGACGUCAAGUCAUCAUGCCCCUUAUGUCCAGGGCUUCACGCAUGCUACAAUGGCUGGUACAGAGAGUGGCGAGCCUGUGAGGGUGAGCGAAUCUCGGAAAGCCGGUCUCAGUUCGGAUUGGGGUCUGCAACUCGACCUCAUGAAGUCGGAGUCGCUAGUAAUCGCAGAUCAGCAACGCUGCGGUGAAUACGUUCCCGGGGCU
rnacentral:rRNA from 1 species